rnacentral:lncRNA from 1 species
AAAUUACCUUUUUUGUUAUAACAAUCGAUUUCUAUUUUAAAAAAAAUAUUUUUUAAAAAUUUAAUCACGCCUAAAAUCAAGCAAUAUAUUUAUAUUAAGUGCCUAAUUAAGCGUUAAAAAUCACCAAAAAUCAUUCUUAAUUAUAUUAGAUUUCUGUUAUAUGGUGUUCGAUUAUUUUUAAAAAAAAUAUUCUUAAUUAUAUUACACUUAACAAUCAAACAAUAUUUUACUAUUAAUCUAAGUAUUAAAUAUUAAAUAUCCGUUUGAUCUAUUUAUACGUCCAUGUAUAUUAAGUGCAUUAAACUAAUACAGAUGUCAAAAUGAAUGUAUAUUAUUGAAAUUAUAUGAACAGUAAACUAUUUGAGUGACCAAUCUAAUAUAUUAAAAUAGAAGUCUAAUAUAUUAAAAUAGAAUUACAAAUAAAAAAUCGUUCUGAUUUUUCCUCAAUAAUUACCGAUCUAUGCCACUGUCAUCACAACACAGUCGUUUUAACAGCUUUAGAUCACCCCUUUCUUUUGGUUCUCUCCCCUCUUCUAAAGAGAGAGAGUUUUCUCUCGAUAUUUCAUUGUUUUUAUCAAACUAUUAUCUUUCGGAAGGAUAAAUCUAUUUCCCCUUUUUUGUGUGUUAAAAUAAUUUUCGAUCAUCUAGAUCGAUUUUUUUUCUUCGCUUACCAAUACUUUGUAGUGUUUUCGGCCUAAAUCUGAGCAAUUCUUCCAUUCUCUGAUCUUGCGUCGAUGUAAUAAAGGUUCCGAUCUAUAAUCGGAAAGCAUGCCGUAGCCCUCUGUUGCUUCACUCAAUCCCGACCAACAUCUCUUCAACUAAAUAUUCUAUCUUUGUUUGGGUAACGUUGCAUGAAUUGGUAUUGGAGUUUAGAGAAGUGUUCGUGAGGUUCCAAAUCUUUGUUACGGUGAAGAAAGAGCAAAAGCGAAAUCGGAAAAUUUCACAGUGGCGAAGAGCUCCGGCGGCCAUGAUGUUUUCAGCAUGAAGGACACGUUGCUUGAUACACUUAUCAGAAACAGCUUUUGUGUUAUGGGCUUUGUAAUUUGUUUUUUUUUUACUUGGAUCUCAUGUAGUCCAUUACCAAUUCUAAUGAAAAAUAUUGCCGACAAAGAAGAAAUCAUUCCUUUUUUCUUUCAUUAAUAAUAAUUUUAAUUCUCAACGGUUUUUUCUUUUUCUCUCGCGCCUCUGUAUUUCACAGAAAGAGAAAAGGAAGCUUUUUAUGUUCUUUCCG